GGUGAGGAGUCGCACGGCUUGGGCAGACCGGUCAAGAAUGGAUGGAAGUCCGUGUCCAAUUUGGGUCUGUGUCCGGAUAAACCAGCCAACAAAGAGUGGAACGAGGCUGGGUUGUAGUUGCCCAACCCUGGAAUGGACAUGAAUGGAGACCGAUAGCUGGCUACAUCACGUAACGUCGAAAGAGAUCAUCAAUUUCAAACUCGACGACGACGACGACUUCGAGAACGACGUUACGGAACCGGUCCAUCUGAUCCUCCUCCUCCACCAUCAUCAUCAUCAUCAUGAUCGCAACAACAACAACUAGCACCAAGAAGUCGUCGAGUUUCACAAAUGGCCAUCGAAGAGAGGAAAAAAUCCAGGUCCCUUGAACCCAAGAGGCCCCCCAGGUCUAUCAGUCAAAUAUAUGGACUAAUGCACUCACUUUAACCACUACCAGAUCUGAACGACAUUACUCAAUGGCUUCAAUGGACACUUGCGAGGUCGUCACCCAAAAUUAAGAUAUCGAGGAUUGAAACCGCAGACUUCCAUGUCCAAUUGAUUCUGUGGACACAUUGCCAAUUUUUGCACCGAGAAAACGAGUCAUGUUUUCUUUCCCCCGCUUCGCGCGAGUGUGCUCACCUCUGAGUCGAGGAGAAAGGUGGAGUUGAUCAGGUUGAUGAAUUUGGUUGGGCGAUUACUCGGUAGCUCCACCAGGACCAGGAAUCCAGUAGCUGCCAUGGUUGCUUCUGAAGAGCUCUGGCCGAGUAGUGAUUCUGGGGAUGGAUUUACCACCAUGAUGGAACGACCUGAUGAAGAUGCCUCAUGAAUAAUAUCCCGAUCACAACGAAGGCCAUCAUUUCUCUGGAGCGAGAGCCUCAUUCCAUUUAUUCGUCUGUCUUGUGGUCGCUUCUCCCAGCUAAUUGACUUUUAGACCAACGAGGAGAACGAAUCAUUCAGCGACGUGAUUUGCCAGAAUUUUUUUAUACUAAUGAGGGGGACAAGGAUUCUUAAACGCUCAAGACGAGCGAGUGUCUGCCUCUCUCGUAAUUGAAAUGAUUUUCGGGAAACGAGCCCGAGUUACGUGGUUGGUGGAGUCAGAAAGACAGCCAGAGAGCCUCCUGGCCUUUUAAUUGCCUCAUUUGCUCCCCUAAUGUCGAAACCCUGACGAUGAUAAUGAAGAGGAGCCAGAGAGGCUCACUGGGAAAACUGUCAUUUCACAAUUUCCAUUCGAUUCAGUCACCCUGAGUGAAUGAUUGAGUGUUACCGGUUCAUGACGGUAUACCAUGGGGGGCUUUGUACAUACUAAAAGUCUGAAUUUGAGAAAAGAAAGAUGAAGUUAGCGCUUAUUUUCAGAAAUACUGAAUUGGAGCAUGCCAUUAACAAUGAUUGUUUUGGCGUUUGUUUAGCAUAAUUGCUUCAGUUGUUCAGAUGGAGAAUGGGCCAAGAUCAGGCUGACUGACAUCAGAAGGUUGGUUGGGGCCAAUGAAAGACACAGAUGAGGACUAGAAGGAGGAGGCCAUUCUGGGGUUUGUGCAAGAGAUAAUUAGUGCUAAAUGAUGUCAAUAAUUGCCCGCUUCUAGCUUCAGGAGUUGGCUCUUGGCUCGAACGGGGGCGAGCUUUUUGGACCAAUAACGACGAUUUGUAGAACAAGAUUUGAACACGGUUGGCUUUCAAAGACAAAUGGCCGAAGCACAUGAGGGAGGUAAUCUACGACCAGGGAGACAAAUACUGGAAACAGAACCGUCGAAGACAGCCCUCUAGUACAACAGCUAGUGAGCGAAGAACCAGGAGGAGAGCGAGAGGAGGGGGGAUAUGCAAUUAUGCCAAACAAAUAAUGGUAAUGAUUGCCAGUUAUGAUUAAUUGCCCUCUUUCCAACUAAUCACUUUGAUAACAAGUCAAUUUUGCCCUUGCCUUUUCCGUCUGCUCCGGCAUCCAUCUUGUUCAGAGUACCUCCAAGUCGUGGAACCUUGUGACAAAACCGUUGCAGACUGUAUUUUAUUUUUACCCAAUACGAUAAAACCACAAAUCAGGCGAGAUACAAGAAAAGCCAUUCCUUGGAACAAUUAAGAUGAAUAUUGGGCCAGCAUGUUUGUCGGUUCAUUUUUUCGGGGAAGAUUGUUGUAUCUCUGCAACGAUCUGUGCAGGGUGGCAAUUAAAGGAAUUGAGAUGCCGUCGGUUUUCAUGCUAAUUUUGAUGAACGAUUCCACAAGAGUAAGCCCAGUAACAUUAUUUCGGAGCCAGCUUUGCAGACAACAUGAUUAUUUUUACAGUCAGUGGUUCAAUAUCAGACCAGUCUUUAAGGGAUCUCGCCAUAAUUUUACGAUUAUUUUUAUUUUGCUUUGUCCCCUUUUAUCCCUGAGAGUCUCUGAAUAAACAAGAGCAGUAAUGUAAAGUUUUGUACAACAAACAUAAUGACUAUGUUAAAACAAUGUUCUGUUCUAAAUGACAGUAACCGACACAAUGAAUUUGACACGGGUCACCAACCGCCAAGUUCACGAAAACGAUAGUAUCUAACGGUUUGCCAUCGCUACCCAAGAGAUUAUCCAUUGCAUUGUUUAGCUAACUAAGUGGUCGGUCGUCUGACAUAUUCUUCAGUCGAGAUGUCCAUGUUUUUGAGCCAACCAAUCUGGCCAACGGCCUUUUAGGAUACUAAUAGCAUUUGCCCCAGCAUGAAACUAUAACUGAAUGGAUGUUUUCAAAUACCAUCUUGAAUGGCCUGUCUCCUUAAAACCUAUUGGUAGCAAAGGUCAAAGUCAAACAAUAAACAUUAUCUUUAGAUUUGAAUCUACCUUUAGCAUAGAGUUUUGGACUAAUUAUGUGAGCACAACAGACUCAGCGACCUUAAAGUGAAAUGCGGAAAAGUAUUGGCUAAUUGAUAAUUUAAAGACCACGGUCAAUUCAGUUCAACAAAGUCAUUUGGAAAGGAAUGACACGGAAAAAAAGUUACACCUCAGGAGGUAGCUGUGUCUCCUGGAGAGCCAUAUCCGGUGAUCCAAGGGGACCUCCAUAAAUAGCAAUACCAUCACAAACGAAAUUGGAAGGGUGACAAAUUGACUUGUUCCAAAACGGAAUGAAGAACUGAUUUAGAAACGGGGUCAUUGCCGAGACAGGGAGGGGAUAAAUCACUUUGGGACAGAGAGAUGAAAUUAUGCCAAGUCAACUAGUAAUAUCUGGCAACGCUUUGGACCUCGAUCUAGUGGGGUGAGAUAUGUGGCUGGCCAAAUUCCAUCAUCCUGCAAUGACGAGUUCGUUUCUUAGUUGAAUAAGGAGGAAAAGGUGGGGGGUGUCUUAUUGCUGGUCACACCAUGAUAACGUGCAUAAUAGCACCACCUAGUUUUUUUCGGGAGUAGUAGCCUUCAUUGUGUGAGUAAAAAGUGUAAUUUUCUAAUGUCUUCCUUUCAUGAAACUGGGCACAUUGAUAGAGCUGCUACCACAAUAAAGGACAGGGAUGCCAAACAUGUAUGAAUUUGAAUUCCACAACCAACGUAUUACACAGGCCAUGGGCUAAUAAUCAAAUAAUCAUUUGGAAUUAGAUCACAUUCUGUCAGUUGGACAUUACUUCAGUCUCUGAUGGAGGAGGUAAUGACUACUUAUAUGAAAAAG